rnacentral:rRNA from 1 species
UCCGGUUGAUCCCGCCGGACCUGACUGCUAUCGGAUUGAUACUAAGCCAUGCGAGUCAUUGUAGCAAUACAAGGCAUACGGCUCAGUAACGCGUAGUCAACCUAACCUAUGGACGGGAAUAACCUCGGGAAACUGAGAAUAAUGCCCGAUAGAACAUUAUGCCUGGAAUGGUUUAUGUUCCAAAUGAUUUAUCGCCGUAGGAUGGGACUGCGGCCUAUCAGUUUGUUGGUGAGGUAAUGGCCCACCAAGACUAUUACAGGUACGGGCUCUGAGAGGAGUAGCCCGGAGAUGGGUACUGAGACACGGACCCAGGCCCUAUGGGGCGCAGCAGGCGAGAAAACUUUGCAAUGUGCGAAAGCACGACAAGGUUAAUCCGAGUGAUUUGUGCUAAACGAAUCUUUUGUUAGUCCUAGAAACACUAACGAAUAAGGGGUGGGCAAGUUCUGGUGUCAGCCGCCGCGGUAAAACCAGCACCUCAAGUGGUCAGGAUGAUUAUUGGGCCUAAAGCAUCCGUAGCCGGCUCUGUAAGUUUUCGGUUAAAUCUGUACGCUUAACGUACAGGCUGCCGGGAAUACUGCAAAGCUAGGGAGUGGGAGAAGUAGACGGUACUCGGUAGGAAGUGGUAAAAUGCUUUGAUCUAUCGAUGACCACCUGUGGCGAAGGCGGUCUACUAGAACACGUCCGACGGUGAGGGAUGAAAGCUGGGGGAGCAAACCGGAUUAGAUACCCGGGUAGUCCCAGCUGUAAACUAUGCAAACUCAGUGAUGCAUUGGCUUGUGGCCAAUGCAGUGCUGCAGGGAAGCCGUUAAGUUUGCCGCCUGGGAAGUACGUACGCAAGUAUGAAACUUAAAGGAAUUGGCGGGGGAGCACCACAAGGGGUGAAGCCUGCGGUUCAAUUGGAGUCAACGCCGGA